UCCCUUAGAUGUCCUGGGCUGCACGCGCGCUACACUGGAAGUUACGGAUUGAGAUACUACCUUGUCCGAAAUGGUCCGGGUAAUCACCUAAAAGCUUGUCAUAAUUGGAAUGGAUUAUUGUAACUAGUAAUCCUGAACGAGGAAUUCCUAGUAAGUCCCAGUCAACAGCUGGUACUGAUUACGUCCCUACCCUUUGUACACACCGCCCGUCGCUACUACUGAUUGGACGUUUAAGCAAGAUUUUUAAACACUGACAGUGUGUAGUUCACGCUAUACUACAGUGAGAAGAAGAAGAUCGAGCUUACUUGUCUAGAGGAAGUAAAAGUCGUAACA
rnacentral:rRNA from 1 species